UAGGGAAUAUUGGACAAUGGGCGAAAGCCUGAUCCAGCAACGCCGCGUGCACGAUGAAGGUCUUCGGAUUGUAAAGUGCUUUUAAGGGAGAUGAGAAAGGACAGUAUCCCUUGAAUAAGCCUCGGCGAACUACGUGCCAGCAGCCGCGGUAAAACGUAGGAGGCAAGCGUUAUCCGGAUUUAUUGGGCGUAAAGCGCGUGCAGGCUGUUUGGAAAGUUGGAUGUGAAAGCUCCUGGCUUAACUGGGAGAGGUCGUUCAAAACUACCGAUCUAGAGAAUGGGAGAGGGAAGUGGAAUUCCGGGUGUAGGGGUGAAAUGCGUAGAUAUCCGGAGGAACACCAGUGGCGAAGGCGGCUGCCUGGACCAUUUCUGACGCUUAGACGCGAAAGCUAGGGGAGCGAA
rnacentral:rRNA from 1 species